rnacentral:tRNA from 1 species
GGGGUUGUGGCUCAGGGGUAGAGCACUUUCCUGGCAUGCGUGUAGCUCUGAGUUUGAUCCUCAGCACCACA